rnacentral:rRNA from 1 species
AGAGUUGAUCCUGGCUUAGGACGAACGCUGGCGGCGUGCCUAACACAUGCAAGUCGAACGGACGAGGGGAGCUGCUCCCCAAGUUAGUGGCGGACGGGUGAGUAACACGUGAGCAACCUGCCCUUCGGAGGGGGACAACAGUUGGAAACGACUGCUAAUACCGCAUGACACAGCGGGGAGGCAUCUCCCUGCUGUCAAAAGAUUAUAUCGCCGAAGGAUGGGCUCGCGUCUGAUUAGAUAGUUGGUGAGGUAACGGCCCACCAAGUCAACGAUCAGUAGCCGGACUGAGAGGUUGAACGGCCACAUUGGGACUGAGAUACGGCCCAGACUCCUACGGGAGGCAGCAGUGGGGAAUAUUGGGGCCAAUGGGGGGCAACCCUGACCCAGCAACGCCGCGUGAAGGAAGAAGGCUUUCGGGUUGUAAACUUCUUUGACGAGGGACGAUAGUGACGGUACCUCGAAAACAAGCCACGGCUAACUACGUGCCAGCCGCCGC